CAGCCGCCGCGGGAAAACGUAGGUGGCAAGCGUUGUCCGGAAUUAUUGGGCGUAAAGGGCUCGCAGGCGGUUUCUUAAGUCUGAUGUGAUAGCCCCCGGCUCAACCGGGGAGGGUCAUUGGAAACUGGGAAACUUGAGUGCAGAAGAGGAGAGUGGAAUUCCACGUGUGGCGGUGAAAUGCGUAGAGAUGUGGAGGAACACCAGUGGCGAAGGCGACUCUCUGGUCUGUAACUGACGCUGAGGAGCGAAAGCGUGGGGAGCGAACAGGAUUAGAUACCCCUGUAGUCCCUGUCUCUUAUAC
rnacentral:rRNA from 1 species